GGCAGGUAGGGCAGGUCCAGGUCACCUUGGCACAUGCACAGACUGCAUUUUGGUUUGGUAUAGUCCUGGGGAGUGUGGUGCUUCUGCCCAGGGUGGCACUGGUCUACCUGAGGUAGGGGCAUGGCUGGGGUAGAAGUUAGUAUAUGCAAAGCCCUGGGUUCCAUCCAGGUAAAGGUGGUGAGAGGCCUGCAAACCAAUGCUAGGGUGGCCCUUCCUUAGGGGUGAAGGUACGGGUCCUCUGGGAGAUCUGACUAAAGAAUCUGUAGCUUUAUGCCAUACCAGCAGCCAGUCCCUGUCUGUAUGAGAAGACUGGUCCCUCUGGUCUAAAUCCCUACUUGGAUACUUGGCAGUAGGAUUCAGGAAGAACUCUGGUGGUCUCCAGUUCAGGUAAUCAAUCCCAGAAGACAACAGAUCCAUCCCUUUCUACCUGGAGAUGAGACAGAAUGGGCAGUCCAGGGGAGUAGUACCCCCCAGUGAGAAGACACAAGCUAAGUUCCAUACCUGUUUUCUGUAGCCCUAUGGUGUUCCAGGAUACCCCAUAACAGCUCUUAUUGCCAUAGAUCUAGCCACUGGAAAUGACACAGACUGUCCUAAGGCUGGUUUUAUAGGCCCAGAGCCUGAACUUAGCUGUUUGAGACUCCCUCAGGUUCUUCCUUAUUCGAUCCAUCCCAGUGUCUCUUGAGUUGCCACACAGAGUUAGCUGCCACUGCAUUCCUCUUUUGGAAGAGACUACAUCCAAGGUCCCUCCAAGUGUGAGUGAGCUCAUAUCCAAGCAGCCUUGCUCAGAUCUGAGGUCACCAGCUCCUCAGAUAAUCCCUGCUUCAGGGAUCUCAGCUUCUCUUUGAGGGUAGCUAUCUGAUUGACAGGUCCAGCCAGGACAAUCUUCUUGAGAUGGACUCAAGUGAGUACAUUUGAGAUCUCAGCAAUACCUCCUUUGCCUUAUUGUACAAGUUACAACAGCCUGACCAGCUCAGAGCAGGGUGGUACAGGAUGUGACUGUUAGGGUGUGGGAGUCCUGCGGCAUCCAGGGGUAUAUUUUCCCUAUCUGUUGUGAAGAAUCCAGGCACUGAUGCCCUAAGCCCUGGCUAUCUGUGACCUAAGACACAGUUUUUCAUUUUACUCCAUUAUAGUUUCUUCUUAGGUGUUGGUCAAGGAAGCUGGAGUAGGGAUUGAAUCGCCCAAAGGAGGCAGUGUGUUAGUACUAUCAGGGCCUUCUCCUGAAGAAGUGACUGGGUAGACAAAGACAGCCAUUAUUAGUUGGUCAAAUGUGUUUGGGUGUUUGAAAGGCUACUCUUAAUCACUCU
rnacentral:lncRNA from 1 species